AUGAACGCUGGCGGCGUGCCUAACACAUGCAAGUCGAGCGAACAGACGAGGAGCUUGCUCCUCUGACGUUAGCGGCGGACGGGUGAGUAACACGUGGAUAACCUACCUAUAAGACUGGGAUAACUUCGGGAAACCGGAGCUAAUACCGGAUAACAUGUUGAACCGCAUGGUUCAACAGUGAAAGACGGUCUUGCUGUCACUUAUAGAUGGAUCCGCGCCGCAUUAGCUAGUUGGUAAGGUAACGGCUUACCAAGGCAACGAUGCGUAGCCGACCUGAGAGGGUGAUCGGCCACACUGGAACUGAGACACGGUCCAGACUCCUACGGGAGGCAGCAGUAGGGAAUCUUCCGCAAUGGGCGAAAGCCUGACGGAGCAACGCCGCGUGAGUGAAGAAGGUCUUCGGAUCGUAAAACUCUGUUAUUAGGGAAGAACAAAUGUGUAAGUAACUAUGCACGUCUUGACGGUACCUAAUCAGAAAGCCACGGCUAACUACGUG
rnacentral:rRNA from 1 species